rnacentral:lncRNA from 1 species
CUUAUCUGACCACCUUGCAGGAGAAGACGGGAUGGGUCAGUGCGGGGUGGGACCUUAGCAUCACUUCAGGACUCUGAAGAUAGACUUUUAGGGGUCACUAGAAACCUUUGUUCUUAUUACUAAGGUGGCGUGUUGAAUAAGCCUCCUUUUUCUACUUUUCACUAUGGGGCUGUUCUGUUUAUGGAGGACUAGUAGCUGAACCUUGCUUGUUGGGGCACAGGCCAUUAUCCCCAAAUCUGGCCAGUGCUUACUAAAAUGGAAGUCUGUGUUCUUUACCUCCUUCCCUGCCUUUUGCAUCAGGGUCUCACUGUGUACAGACUGACCUUGAACUUGAGACCCCCUUGCUUCCACUUCCCUAGUACUGGCCUGUGUUCCCUCUGGUUUACCUGCUGGGUAAGAUAUGUGGCUGUGAGGUUGCCCACUGACUGCCUUGAAACUUGCCCAGCUGUCAUUUUGUCAAAAAUAAACACCAGACUCUUAGUAAAUACCAUUUUCUCAAUCCUUUAAGAUCCUUUCACUGUUAGAUGCUGGGUGUGCUCCAGGAAAAGGCUAGCGGGUAUAUUUGUAGGCUCCUGGGGUAUGAGGAUUGGGGUGUGGGGAGGAGUUGGCUUCAGGAUGCUUUUAUUCUGGUAACUUUCCUUUGUGGGAUGGUAGGUCAAAUCAUCAAGGACAUAGAACCUGGAAGCCCAGCAGAGGCAGCUGGCUUGAAGAACAAUGACUUGGUAGUUGCUGUCAAUGGCGAGUCUGUGGAAGCUCUUGAU